AUAUUGCUGUGUUGCCCCUACUGGACAGCAGUGGCUCCAUCAUAGCUUAUUGUAACCUCAAGCUCCUGGCCUCAAGUGAUCCUCCUGCCUCAGCCUCCUGAGUAGCUGGGACUACAGGCACACACCACCAAUUUUUGUAUUUUUAGUAGAGACGGGCUUUCGCCACGUUGGCCAGGCUGGUCUCAAACUCCUAACCUCAGGUGAUCUGCCUGCCUUGGCCUCCCAAAGUGCUGGAAUUAUAGGUGUGACCCACUGCACCAGACCAAGCCUUUAUCAGCUGUGCAGGUCUAAGACAUCCUAUGGGGAAGAGCCAUGUGUUCUUGGGGCUGGAAAGCCAGGAUACAGGGCCCAGACCACUGAGGCCAGAUCUCACCCAGACUUUAAUGAAAUCCACAAGGUCUUCCGAGAGCACCUACUAUGUACCUGGCCCUAUGCCUCCCACCUCCCUGUCCCAGGAGUUGCCUCAGUAGUCAAGAGGGAGACAGGGGUGCCUCAGAAUAGAUGUAUAUACCAGUCAGUGCAGGGAGCAUUCUUGGGAACUGACACAAAGAGGUGUUUGGCCACGGGGAGUCAGAUCUGGAUUGCAGUGCUUCUCUGGAGCCCAGAGACCCAAGCCCUGCCCUGCAGACUCACCUAGAGUGCUGAGGUUAUAAGGACAGCUCUGAUCCUGGGUUCGACUCCUGAAUCCGCCACUACCUAGCUGUGAGACCAUGGGCAAGUCACUUAACCUCUUUACAUUCCAGGGUCCUCACCUAUAAACUAAACAUAAAACCAACCCAUGCUCAUGGAGAUAGUGAGAGGCUUGUCCAUGAUGUUGUGACACAGGGAAAGGAAGCACUUAGCUUAGAACCUAGCAGAGAAUAAGCAUUUGGUAAAUGUUAGUGUUGAUAUCUUUCCCGAUUCCAGCUCUCAACAGAAUUUGAAGAGAACAAAAAUGUCUAGAUUGGGCUUUUAGGCUGGAGGCCAUGGACUCACCAUGGGUGGGCUUAGGGAUAUGAAACCUUGUGCAAUAUUGUGUGUGUGUUUCUAGAAGAAGGAUCUGCAGCCUCACCAGAUGUCCACGGGGGCUGUGACCUAGAAAAAUCUUUGGUCGCUGAGCUAGGUCAGGGCUGGCAGAACCACUCAGUCUUAGCUCAGGCUGCCAUGAUAAAGUGACAAAGCCUGAGUGGCUUCAGCAACAGAAACACAUCUUCUAACAGUUCUGGAGGCUGGAAGUCCCAGAUCAUGGUCCAGCAGGAUUGGUUUCUGGGGAGGGCUUGCUUCCUAGCUUGUAGACAGCUGCCUUCUCCUUGUGUCCUCAUGUGGCAGAGAGAGAGAGAGAAUGAGAGUGAAAGAGAGACACAGAGAGAGAGAGAGUGAAGAGAGAGAGAAAUCAAGAGAGAGGACACUCUAGUGUCUCUUCUUAUAAGGACACUGAUCCUAUCAGAUUGGCAUCCCACCAUUUUUACCUCAUUUAACUUUAAUCACUUCUAUAGAGGCAUCUCCAAAUACAGUCACAUUGAGGGGGAGGGCUUCAACAUAUGGAUUUGGGGGUCAUAAUUCAGUCCAUAGCAGUCAGUGAGAUAGAUUAUUCUAGAUCUCGGUGGAGGCAGGUUUUGACCAGCAAAGGCUGACCCUUGAGGCUUCUAACUAAAGCAAGGACCACCUGCAGCUCCCCUGGCCCCAGUGAUCAUCACUCCUCCCAACCGUCCUCUUCCCUGCUUAUGCCCAUCCAAUUAUCCACUUCUCCAAGUCCAUUCCUGCAGGCCCUGCCUGCAGCCUCCUAAGAUGACAGUGGGCUAGUCUCAGGAUUGUGAGAAUUUAAGGAAACAAUCCUGAGAGUGUACUUUCAGCAGUGCCUGGCACACAGAGAGCACUCAGUAAAGGCGAGCUCUGCACCUAGAGAGUGUAGGAGGUCAGACACACAGCCCGUUUGCACUGCUGGAGCCCAGGAUCCCUGUCCCAGGGUUUGCUGGAAUCAGAGCCCCCAACACAGCUGUCUCUCCCAGUUAUAACCAGUGACCCACAGAUUCCUAGAGACCUAGAAUCUGCUGGUAGUUUCUGAGUGUUCUUGCAAGGAAUCCCUGAAUCUGGAUGUGCAUCCCAAGGCUUAGAUUAACAAAAAUCACAUCUCACACACCUAUGUAGGACUGACUUUCAAUUACAUAAAAGAUGAUGUGAGCACAAAAGACAAAUCCAUUCAGAAGAGCUACAGUAUUCAUAAUUCAGACCUGGAUUUUGGCUGUUGUGUGUUUCUUCAGAGGGGGGAAAUGGCUUUGUAACAUUGACUUAAUUCAUCUCCAUGAAUGAGCAUCUAAUGUGUGCUGGGAACACAGUGGGGAAUACGGCUGACAUGCCCCUGCUUCCCAGCAUAACUGAAGCUGUGUUCUCAGGAAAGGGCAGGAACCAUUGGUCUAACCCACCAAGUCAGGUCCAGGGCCCCUCCUUCAGUUCUAGGUAGCUUCUGGUUUUAAAGGCUGCUGAGGGCAAGACCUGGGUCCUCAUGUCUCCCGCUCUCUGACCCCUUCUCAGAGCUGUCAGCCCAGAAAGCAUGAACCUUGAACCCCAGAAGUCAUGAAAUGCAGCCUCCCAUACCCUGAGGCAGGACUUCUCUAGACCUUGUCUCUGAUAGGACAUCCAGCCUCUGCCUGGACACCUCUGGAGAUGGGAUGCUCAUUAUGUGUGCAAGGAAAACUGCUACUACAUACACAGUCAUGAAUGUAUUUUAAUAUGUCUUACCCUGAGCUCACAGGGGCAGCACCUACAUGGUCAAUGGCCCCACCUGAUUUGUCCCAUUGAAGGGAGAAGAAUCAGGGUCUUUGUUCCAUGCAUAGGCUCCCACCUGGCUCCUCAGCCUUGCUGCGCCUCUCCUCCCUUGUGCCCAGGGACACAGCAUCAGGAAAUUGGGUUUUGAUUUGGGGAAAGGUGAACAUGGCUCCCUCCAGCUAUAGGAAAACCUCACCAAUGUCCCAGCCCCAGGAUACUUGGGGGUGGGAGUGGUUUAUGAAGCCAGUGCCUGUCCCCUCAGCAGGAAAAGACUUGCAAGGCUGACUUUGCUCUGGAAAAGGAGGGCUCUGAGCUACAGGGGAGGGGGAGGGGGCUAUCUGUGAUCAUUCAGCCCCGAAAUGAUGCUCAUGAUGUUGGCUUUCCAGGCCAUUAAUUCAAGGGCUCCAUGCCUCCCCUUCCCCCAUGGUGCUGUCUGCUCUGGGAGAUAAGCCCAGUUCUAUUUAACCCUAUUUAUUCCCCCAAAGUGACUCCCAUCUCUGUUAGCCAGGCAUUUAACCCCCUGGGUACUGAAGGCAUCAAAGGCAGAGAGAUUGAGCUCAUGUGUCAGGAAGGGGUGCGUGCAUUUCACCUGGGCCCUGGCUUCAGGGAAUCCGAUCCAGGUCCUUCCUAAUCCAAACUCCUCAUCUGGAAGUCCUUGCUUCACAAGGCUUGGUGGAAGUCCUGAGAGAAGGUAGGAACCUGUGUGGCCCUGGCAGGAGAGACCCUCUGACACCCCCAGGUUGGGUAGCGACAGCUCCUGCUCUCUCCCCACAUACCCUCCCAGUCCCUAGUUUCUUAGUCACAAGAUCUGGGUUCUGGCAUCAGCAAAAGAGAAAGGCUGUGGCAUCUCUGCCUCUUUUGUGUCCCACUGGCUGGUGGCUGCAUUCAGCAAGCCCUCUUCCAUCUCCAUCUCCCUGCUUGGUCCUUUUUACGUCCCCUGCCCCUUUCUGCCCUUUGUUCUCUCCUCUUUUCCCCUUCAGUGAUCACACAAGAGUAGUCCUGACUACUCGUCUCGGUGUGUGUGUGUGUGUGUGUGUGUGUGUGUGUGUGAUUUCUUGUGUCUGGGGGCUUGUCAGUGUGUGUGUGUGUUUACCUGUUCUUGCACUGCUGUGUGUCUGAGCCUGUUAUCCAGGUGCCUCUGCCCAUGCAGAGGGACCCACCAGUGUCUGUCCUGAUUUCUUUGUGUGGCAGGCAGUCUUAGUACAAAUCUUGCAUGUGUCUGUCUGUGUGCUGGCCUGUUCAUGACCUGUGUGUUGCUCUGUCAAUGUAUUAGAAUGCUCUGUUCAAUCUACUAGAAUCUCUAUGUUGUCCUCAUGUUUUUGUACAUCUAUCCAUCGGCUUGUCAUGCUCUGUGUGAAUGUAUGUGUGUGUUGUGCUUCAACUCAGGGGACCAGUCUACUGCAAAAUCCUCUCCUAGGGAACCCUUCCAGAGGAGCUAUUUGGGAGAAUUUGGAGGUUGAUGGCUUCGCCAGGGCAGAGCCCAGCUCACUACCAGCAAGGGAAGUCAUCCUGUUGGUCUCCUGGGCUCUUCCCUCUCCCUGCUCCUGACCUCCCUCCCCUUCUCUCCAGGUCAGCUUGCGACUGUGAGGAGCAGGGACAGAGAGCUUCAAAGACAGAAGAGCGUACAUUCCAACUCACUCAACCCCCAGAUCCAAUCGCAGGCUUUUUCUUGUGCACUCCCAUUUCCACCCCCAGCCCCACAACGAGAACUGGCUGUUGAGUAUAGUCACUACAACAAUCACAAAAUAAUUGCUAUCACGUAUUGGGCAUGCAGCACCUGUUAAGCAUUUCAUAUAUGAGAUCUCAUUGAAUUUUCUCAAUAAUUCUAUGAGGCCGUUAUUCUUAUUUUCACAUUUUAGAGAUGAGGAAAUGGAAGCUAGGAGAAGUCAAGGAAGUAGUCAAUGUCAUAGAAUUAGUAUGUGAUGGGGUAGAAUUAUUCAAUAAAGUGUGGGUUGUUUGAGAGUUUGCCACACCUGCCUUCAGCCUGGGAAGAGGCAUUUAUUACAAACAGCAGGAAAGGAGGGAAAUAUGGGAAUUCCUUUCCCAACUGCUGGCAUCUAAUUAUAGCCAGCGGGACUAGAAUCUGAUUUUGAAUUUCAUCUCUUUGGACAAUGAGGUGGCCAAAUACCAAACGACAACCAGGGAGAAAUGAUGUAAGGACAAGACGAGGUAGUGCAGGGCAAGGCAUGCUGGAAAGAGCCUUAGGAUUCCUGGGGGUUCUAGCCUGGCUUUAACCUGGAUUCUGUGUGACCUUGGGCAGGACACUUCCUUGCUCAGGCCUGAGUUUUCUUGUCUGUAAAACUAGGAUAAAUGUGAGGUUCUGUUGGGAUGUUUGGGGGAGGUUUAAACAUUGCAGAAAGGAAAAUUGGACUCAGGGCUUUCUAAGUUCCCUCCUAGACCCAAGAAUUGGAGUGGGGAGUAUAGGAAGAGACUAUGCUUGUGUCAUCUUGACAAUUCCUGGAAUAGCCAGAACAGAAUCACGUGCACAGGAAGGGCUGUGAAAAGGUUCACUGAAUGAAGGAAUAAAUGACCCCAUCUCUCACUGAUGAAAAAACGUCACAGCCCACUUUAGACUCACUUGUCAGAGAAGGCAUCAGUGGCCAUCCUAAGGUCUGGGUGUAAUGCUGUGGAGGAGGCACUGGGGAAUCCUACAAAGACCCAGCCUCUGCCCAGAUCAUCUCCUGUGGGCCAAAGAAUUUCACCAGAAACAGAAGGGGAGAGGAUGGCAAUUAGGAUGUGGAGAUCUUUGUCUAUAGGAAUCUGUAGGGAAAAUUCUCUCUCUCUGUCUUUCCUGUAUCUGAGAAUUGGGGUGGGCCGAGGCUCUCCGUAUAGGGCAAAUUUCGGAUGGGGGAUCGCUUCUAUUUAGAAGCCUCCUUGGAGGAGAGGAUCUCUGUGUUUGGAGGAAGAAUCUCUUUCCUGUCUUUGUUCUGGGUCCUGUCAUGACUUGGAGUGUCUGUAUUUGGAGGACGGUUCUAUAGAGGGGUCUUUUUUUGUUUUGUUUUUUGUUUUGCUUUGUUUUGUUUUGUUUUUUGGUCUUAGUAGCUGGAGGCUAAGAAGAGGAUUUCUGUCUUGGUUUCCACCAGGCAGGAGCUAGGGGCUUUCCAGAGCUUCUGGGGAAAUUAAGGGGGUACCUGGGGAGAGGUUAGGAGCAUCUCUGUCCAAUGUGGUGGAGGUUCCCUAUCUGGAGAGAAGCCUCCUCCGGGAGACUGGGAGGGGCUUGGGAUGGGAGGAGGUGGCAGGAGGCGGGAGGGUGUAGAGAGGGAAGCCUGUCUUGUCCUGGCAGCUCCAACUCUCUGGCCAAAGCCCUCGGGCCGCCCUACUUGUGCGCUGACGUGAGCUAAUCUAGAAAUACUGCAGAGAAAGAGUGGCUGGGGUUCCCAGGGAGAAAGGGCCUCGAGAGAGGGGAGAUGGGGAGCUGCUUCCUUUUUUGUUUCCUUCGGUUUUUCCGUCCGCCCCCGCCCCCACUUCCAGUCACAGCCGCUACUUCUCCAUUCAGGCUGGGACUGCCAGGUGGAGCCCUGCGGUUUACUGCUCAGGAGGAGCCCGGCCAGGACAUCAGCUGGGGACUUACGCAGGGACCCAUUCAGAGCAGCGGACCCUCACGGAGACUACUACAAAGGGACUAACACAGGCACGAACGCAGGCAACCCCAUUCGGGAACACAUACGUAAUCCAACACACUAGCUCUGGCACACACACUGGAAUGCGCGCAAAACCACACAGACACAGAACAC
rnacentral:lncRNA from 1 species